UAAAGCCACCACAAGUUUCAUAGCAGGGUCAGAGUGUAUUACAGCCUGUGGCCAAGCAGUCAAAGUGAAAGGUUCUUGCCCUUGACAUUCUCAAACUAGAAGCAAACAAGGACAGAAGUACUCAUUUAAGCAGUGGUAGCAGCAAGCAACAUGCUCAACAAUGGAAGAGGAAAAAUGGAUGCAUUAAUGCAAUUAAAAUAGAUUAAACAGACAUGGAAUGUAUUAGUCAUGGAAAAAUCCCAGCUUCCAGCUCUUGAGGAGACAAUUUCUGGAAGGCUAUUUUUGUGAUAUGAUUGACUUUCAAAUGGAAUCCACAAUGCUUUGAUAAUUAUCUGGAGGCAAGACCAGCAAAUGCAUUCAAACUGUCCUAGAUCAGUGUUGGGAAUUGUGACAAUUUGUAAAUAGCACUUCUAAUGUUUUCAUAAAUGUCCCACUACUUUGGAGCUCCUGUGAUUACUUUCUGUUCUGCAGGCUAAGAAAAUAGCCAGUUUGUUUUUGCACCUGGCAUGGGAACAGCAGGAUGUUCCAGUGACUGGCAUCUUGCAACCAUACUGGUUCUUCCAGGUAGCCUGCACUCAGCUUGAAGCCCAAGCAGGUGUUAUUUCCCUCCUGUCCUGGGUCACACAGGAAGAAAACCAGGACACACAGGCGAAUUUGUGGCAGAAUUGAAAGUGG
rnacentral:lncRNA from 1 species